AGAGUUUGAUCCUGGCUCAGAACGAACGCUGGCGGCAUGCCUAAUACAUGCAAGUCGAACGCGUCUAGCAAUAGGCGAGUGGCGGACGGGUGAGUAACGCGUGGGAACCUGCCCUUGAGUGCGGGAUAACCGAGGGAAACUUCGGCUAAUACCGCAUGCGCCCCCGAGAGGGGGGAAAGAUUUAUCGCUUAAGGAGGGGC
rnacentral:rRNA from 1 species